AGCAUGUGGAAAUUCCUGGGCCAGGGAUGGAACCCACGCCACAGCAGGGAACCAAGCCACUACAGAGACAACACUAGACCCUUAACCCACUGUGCCACAAGAGAACUCCCUAUGUAUGAUUUCUAAUUCAACUUCUUCUCCUCUCCUCUUUCUCCUAAUGACCGAGAUGUAUUGUCGUAUAUAUAUAUUGUAGGGUAUGGAAAAUCUGACAUAAGAAUUUUAAUACUUUAAGAGGUCCCCUUUUUAAGAGGGGCUUUUCCUUCAGUGUCUACGACUCUGUAAGAGUUGCUCUGUAAGAGUUGACCUAGCAUUUGUGCUUCCAGGUAUAAUUCAAAAGAAUUGUAAACAGGGACUGAAUCACAUACUGGCACACCAGUGUUCACUGUAGUGUAAUCCAUAAUAGCCCAAAGAUGGAAACAACCCAGCGUCCACCAACAGAUAAAUGUGUGAACAAAAUGUGGUAUAUACAAAUGACAGAGUAGUAUUCAGCCAUAAAAAGAAAUGAAGUACAUGGAAACAGUAUAUUAAGCGAAAUGAACCAGACAUAAAAAGAAAAACAUUGUAAGAUUUCACUCAUAUGAAAUAUCUAGAAUAGACAAAUUCAUAGAAAUAAAAAGUAGAUUAUUACUGGUGGGUCAGGGCCUGGGGGAUAGGAACUUAUAGUAUAAUGGUUAUAGAAUUUCUUUCUGGAGUGAUGGAAAAAGUUUGUUAAUAGCAGUGAUAGAUGGCCAACACUGUGAAUGCACUUAAUGCUGUUGAAUUGCACACUUAAAAUUGUUUAAAUGGAUAUUUUUGUUAUAUAUAUUUUACCACAAUAAAAAUGUUCACAGGCACAUCAAAAACGAGUGGAAGGCAACUCCCCAGGGCAAGGGCCACCUCCUUCCCACUCCAUCCCUCUCCCUAACUGCCUUCUGUGAUCUUUCCUUUCCUCAUCACCUGACUCCCUCAAUAUCCAAUGAACAUCUGACCUCCAUUAAAGGAGAAUUUCCUGGGUUUCACUGCACAAGUGCAUCUGCUAUUCUCCAUACUUUGUAACACUUGUAUUAGCUACCACAUAGGCUAAUACUAAUCUACUAUUGAGUUAGUACCAUGUUACCACCAUGAAGCAGAGCAAAUAAUAAUUAGUAUAUAGCAACACACAGCCAUUUCCCCUCUGUGUGUGUGUGUUCAAACUAAAAAGAAUUAUUAUUUUAAAAAGAAAAAAUGCUAUCAAAUAUUUUCUACAACUCCAUUAGUUCUAAGAGGCCUCCCCCACGUCCCCCCCAAGUGUAACUUGAUACCAACCUUUCUGGAAAUCAGUGUAGCAGUGACUAUCAGACGCUUUAAAAAAUAUGUAUACCCUUUAAUUCACCAAUCCCUCAUCCAAAAGAAGGACAAAGAUUUAUGCACAAAGCCACUGGGAACUAUGUCUGGUCACUUAUGAUGGAGCAUGAUAAUGGGAGAAAAAACAAUGUAUACAUGUAUGUGUAACUGGGUCACCUUGCUGUAUAGUAGAAAAUUGACAGAGCACUGUAAAUCAGCUACAAUGGAAAAAAACAAAAAUCAUUAUAUAUAUAAAAAAGAUUUAUGCACAAAGCUGUUUAUCACCAUAAAAAAUGCAAUGACACAGAGUUCCCUUUGUGGCUCAGCUGUAAUGAACCCGACUAGUAUCCAUGAGUUUGUGGGUUUGAUCCCUGGCCUCGUUCAAAGGCUUAAGGAUCCGGUGUUGCCGUGAACUGAGGUGUAGGUCACGGAUGCAGCUCAGAUCCCGAGUUACCCAUGGCUAUGGUGUAGGCCAGCAGCUGCAGCGCCAAUUUGACCCACUAUCCUGGGAAAUUCUAUAUGCCAUGGUGCAGCCCUUAAAAGACAAAAAAGAAAAAAAAUGCAAUGACACUGACAAAUAUGUAUGUCUUAAUGUGAGCAUAAACAGCAGGAUGCAAAUUUGCAUGUACAUUAAUGAUCUCGAUUAUGAAAGAAUAAAAUGAAUAAAACACUGGAAAGAAAUAUAUUACAAUGGUGUUGGAGUUGCUUCUAGUUAGGAAGAGUUUUCGUUUUUUGUUAUUUUUUAAAAUUUUUGUUUAAUUUCUUUUUGCAAUAAGCAUCUAUCACUGAUAAUCAGAGAAAAAAAAUAAUGGAAAAGCUGCCUUAAAUCCUUUCUGGUGUUAGAUGUGGUACCCCUCCCCCAGGACGCUGUUGGAAAAUGACAGUGGGACAUGAAAUGGAAAUUGCACAGUUAGUAGAAUUCUCCAGAAUGGUAGCCCUAGAAAAGAGGCAACAAGUCCCUAUCAUGCCACUGACCUUCCAGUUGAAGAACACUUUGGGGGAGAGAUUAAGGGUUAAGUAAAAAGUUAAAAAAAAAUGCUAAAAGGGGAAAGAAAACAUUUAGGUGGAUACUCUCCAUUUAGGUAUAAACCUAGAUAAUCCUUCAAGAUAUUCACACUUCUGGAGUUCCUGUCAAGGCACAGCAGAAGCAAAUCCAGCUAGAAACCAUGAGGUUGUGGGUUCGAUCCCUGGCCUCACUCAGUGGGUUAAGGAUCCAGCAUUGCCAUGAGCUGUGGUGUAUGUCACAGAGGUGGUUUGGAUCCUGAGUUGCUGUGGCUGUGGUUUAGGUCGGCGGCAACAGCUCCGAUUAGACCCCUAGCCUGGGAACAUCCAUAUGCCGCAGGAGUGGCCCUAGAAAAGGCAAAAAGACAAAAAAAAAAAAAAAAAAAAAAAAAAAAGAUGAAAAAAAUAGGGUAUUCCUUGGCAAGACUGUGAAAUCUUUGCUUUCUUUAUAUAUAUCCUUUCUCUUGACAAUGACUUUUUUUUUUUUUCCCACUGUACAGCAAGGGGGUCAGGUUAUCCUUACAUGUAUACAUUACAAUUACAGUUUUUCCCCCACCCUUUCUUCUGUUGCAACAAUGACUUUUUAAAAAUACUCAGGACCUUUUAAAGACACAAUCAGGACCAUCGUAUGCUCUGUUAUACUUUGAUAAGAACUCAUAAAUACUCAAUUCUCUCUCAAGAUAUUUGCAUUUUAAGCUUCCUAUCCCUAAUUAUGGAAUAAAUUACUUUUGUUUAAAUUCUGAAAUUUUGAGAUAAUAGCAAUCAGGAAUUUUUUUGUACAGAGAGAUAUCUUGCCCUGAGGUCAUAGUGUAUAUGAGACAAACCCAGAUGACUGACCUACUUUUUAGUCACUUGAAUAUCAGGAUUACUCAGAAGGAACUUUAUUUCUUCUAUUUCCCUGACAGGUCCCUGUGCAAGGGUUAAGACUUGUGAUCUCUACUAGGGGCCUCUUCUCACCCAAGAACUUGGAAGUCAAAUGAUUUCUCACACAUCUAAAACAAAGCUCUUGAUUUCCUCUGCUAAAUCUAAUCCUCAUCUUGGUACCUGGCAGCUCCAUUCAAUUAGCUGCCUAGACCCAAUCCUAAAAACUUUGGCUCAUGCCAAACACCCCAUGUUCAACCCAUCAGCAAGGGUUGUCAGCUCUACCUUCAAGCAGUUCCUGAAUCUGAAGACUUCUCUGAUUCUCUACCACUGUAUCUAUUUGGUCUCUCUCCUUCCACCUUUGCCCCUCUAUAAUGUAUUCUUCAUUCAGCAGCAAGAUGGAUCCUGUUAGAAUAUAAAUCUGAUUAUUUCACCCUUUUGCUCAAAAUCUUCAAAUGACCUUUCUACCAUAUUUGGAAUAGAAUCUCAAGCUCUGACCGGUCCCCGCUCUUCUUAAACCACAUAUCCCACCAUUCUCUUCCUCAUCCAUCAGGAUCCAUAAACAUUGGUCUCCUUAUCUUCCUCAAACAAUUCCACCUCAGGGCCAUUCACUCUGCCAGAAUGUUCUUUCUUUUCCUUUUUUUUAAGGGCCACACCAGCAGCAUACAGAACUUCCCAGGAUAGGGGCUGAAUUGGAGCUGCCUCUGCCAGCCUGUACCACAGCCACAGCAACGCCAGAUCUGAGCCACAUCUGUGACCUACACCACAGCUCACAGCAACACCGGAUCCUUAACCCACUGAACAAGGCCAGGGAUCAAACCCACAUCCUCAUGGAUACUAGUCAGGUUCAUUACUGCUGAGCCACAGCGGGAACUCCUGAGUGUUCUUUCCUCAGCUAUGCUCGUGACUUGUCCCUUCACUCCAUUCAGGUCUUUACUCAGUGAAUCCCUCUUCAGCAAGAUCUUCCCUGACCACCAGAACUAAAAUGACAACCCCACACCCACCAGUACUCUUCAUCAUUUUCUACCCCUCUCCCCACCUUGAUUUCUCUUGAUAGAAAUUACCACUCUCUUGCCACUUCAUUACACAUACAUUUGUUUGUUGUUAAUUGUCUGUUGUCCCUUAGCAAGCUUUAAGGUCGAUGAGGAUAAUCGAUUCUUUGUUUUGUUCACAGCUGUAUAUCCAGUACCUAGAACAAUGCCUGGCAUAUCCAUAAAUGAAUUGAUGACCAAAACAGUGAGCCACUGGAUUAAAGAAAGCAUCUCUGUUUUUUGUGGUUGUUUUAGUUUUUUGCUGCAACCUACCCUAGAGCCCACUCAGAACACAGAGGAGGUAAGACAGUCAUAGAGCUCCCGAGGCUAGAUAUUUGGGAAACUGGGUACAUUAAAGGGGGGGGGGGGCAGAUAGAAAGAUGUUCCUUGAAUUGUUACACCCUUGGAAGAUCUUUUCUCCCCACCUGGGCCACUUGACCCAUGGCUUAGGUCACUCUCAUUCCCUUCCUCUGAAGCCAUUCUCUACAGGGAAAGUAAACCACACCUCAUACCAGAGCUUCUACUAUCUGAAGUUGUUUUGUACCCAAGAAACUAGGAGAAUUGGGAGUAAAAAGAAACUUGUCAGCCACUUAGAUGGAAAGAUAAGACUUGCAAGAUAAGACUAGUUGUGCAGAAAACAAGGAAUUCAAGCAUUGGGCAUGGAGUGUGGUACCCAGAGUAUUGAGCAGUUUAAUCUGGAGCUUUAAGGGGAGAUGGCAGAGCAUAGUCAUGGAGGACACAGGCUAAAAGGAAGAUGGUCUUGAGUUCGGUUCCAGCUUCACUACUAGCUGUUUAAUCUCAAGAACCUUACUUAGCCUUUUGCAGCCUCAGUAUUCUUAUCACAAAAUAAAAAUAGUAAUCAUUAUUUCAAAGAAUGCAUUGAUCAUUAAAUGUUUUAUGUAUUUUAAAGGCAUAGCUCAGUGUAUGGCACAUGGUGAGCCCUAAAUGAAUGGAAGGUGUUAUUAUCAUUGUUUCAGUGUCUAAGAUGAAGGAAAACUAUUGACCCUAAUGGCAACUAUAAAUUCUACAGAAAUAACAGGAUAAUUUAUGUGACUGGUUGAUAUUUGAUACUCAGUUAUGACACAAGACAGCAUUAGUUAUGCAUAGAAUUUAGUAUGUUCAAAAUUAAUUUUGUUUCAUUGAAACAAGAUUCAUAAACCAUAAACAAGACAGAACACAGUGUCUUUGGACAGGUUCUUUAACUUCUCUGGCUCUAGUGUGUUGUCACAUGCGCACAACAGCACAGUAUUCUCCAAAACUGGGCUAUCACUUUGAUGUCCCUUGUUGUAAAGGCUAUGGCUGCAAAGUAGAGAUGCUGAAGCUGGAAAGAUGAAUUGGGGCCAGAUUGCAAAAAGAAUUAUGUAUCACUCUAAAUUGAGAGUGGGUGUUAUUCAAAGAAAGCCUCUGAUUUUUUUUCUAAAGCAACAAAGUGAUAUGAUCAAAUCUUUGUUUUGGAAGGAUAACUCUGUGUUGUAAGCCUUUGGGGUUGCAGUGAAGAUGCAAAGAAGAUUAACAGAGUGGAACGAGACUUGAGGUAGGGAGUUCAGCCAAGAGAAUAUUAGAGUAGUUGAUGUUCAAAAAGAAACAUGCACCCCAAUAUUCAUUGCAGCACUGUUCAUGAUAGCUAAGACAUGGAAGCAAUCCCCAUGCCCACUGACAGACGAAUGGACAAAGAAGAUGUGGUAUAUAUACAAUGGAAUAUUACUCAGUCAUAAAAAAGAAUGAAAUAAUGCCAUUUUUAGCAACAUAGUUGGAUCUAGAGAUUACCAUAUUAAGUGAAGUAAGUCAGAAAGAGAAAAAUAUCCUAUGAUAUCACUCAUAAAUGGAGUAUUUUUUAAAUAAUACAAAUGAACUUACAUACAAAAUAGAAAUAGACCCACAGACAUAGAAAGCAAACUCUUGGUUACUAAAGGGGGAGGGAUAAGUUAGGAGUUUGAGAUUAACAUAUACAGACUACUAUAUGAAAAUAACUAACAAGAACCACUGUAUAGCACAGGGAAUUAUACUCAGUAUCUUAUCAUAACCUAUAAAGGAAGAGAAUGUAAAAAAAGAAUAUGCAAAUAAACUGAAUCACUUUGCUAUAUACCUGAAACUAACACAACAUUAUAAAUCAACUAUAUUUCAAUAAAAAAAUUUAAAAAUAAAUAAAAUUAAAUUUAAAAAUAAAAAAAAUUUAAGUCAUUGACAGAAGAUGACGUGGCCCUAAUUAUUCAAAUAUUGAAUGGAUUUAAAUAAUUGAUUGGUGAACUAUAUUAUUACACUAUCUCUGUGAGUGCUUUUCUUCCCAUGUGAAGCAGUGAAAUAGAUAACUUACACAUUCUAAAAACUGGGAAGUAGAGGGAACCUACAACUUGACGUGCACUUGGCCAUGAAAGACUGCCUGUUGAAAGUGGGAUUCACUUCAGAAACUGUAGGCAAUUGAAAAAGAGAGAGCUUACGUUAGAAGAAAAGCAUUUUCAAUUACAUCAAAUGCCAUAAUGGAGAGGCAUUUUAAUUUCUUUUGCACAGGGAACAUGACAGCUCUUUACCAGUAGCCAUUCUCAUGUUCCAAAGCACUAGCACCAUCCCUGUUUUCUAAGACAGUUCUCUCUUCAAACUCUUUUCGCCACUUCCUUGGCUCAGUAUAGAACUCCUCCAUACCAUAGACACAAAAACCUUUGUCAAGGCUGCACAAAGGCAUCAUCCUCCUUAUUUUACACAGAUUCUUCCAUGAGAAUACCUUCCUCCCUACUUCCAGGCUCAAAGGAGUAAGUAUUUUCUGGAGUUGGUUUAUUGCUCACAAAAAGAACAGAUUUGAAUUCCAGCACUGUCCUUUACUGAAGAGGUGAUUUUAGAAAAUAUACUUCAUUUUUCUUUUUUUUUUUUUUUGGCAUUUCUUGAGCCGCUCCCACGGCAUAUGGAGGUUCCCAGGCUAGGGGUCUAAUUGGAGCUGUAGCCACCAGCCUAUGCCAGAGCCACAGCAACGCAGGAUCCGAGCCGCGUCUGCAACCUACACCACAGCUCAUGGCAACGCCGGAUCGUUAACCCACUGAGCAAGGGCAGGGACUGAACCCGCAACCUCAUGGUUC
rnacentral:lncRNA from 1 species